rnacentral:rRNA from 1 species
AUUGAACGCUGGCGGCAGGCCUAACACAUGCAAGUCGAACGAGUGGCGCACGGGUGAGUAAUGUCUGGGAAACUGCCUGAUGGAGGGGGUUAACUACUGGAAACGGUAGCUAAUACCGCAUACCAUCAGAUGUGCCCAGGUGGGAUGAGCCAGUUGGUGGGGUAUCGGCUCACCAAGGCGACGAUCCCUAGCUGUUCUGAGAGGAUGACCGGCCACACUGGAACUGAGACACGGUCCAGACUCCUACGGGAGGCAGCAGUGGGGAAUAUUGCACAAUGGGCGCAAGCCUGAUGCAGCCAUGCCGCGUGUAUGAAGAAGGCCUUCGGGUUGUAAAGUACUGUCAGCGGGGAAGCGUUACCCGCAGAAAAAGCACCGGCUAACUCCGUGCCAGCAGCCGCGGUAAUUC